GUGGUCAAAGAAAAGUGACCGCCAGGUAGGAAAAUUGAGGACAGGAUAAGAUCAAAACAAGGCUGUUUUCCUUACAACCCUGUGAGAUAUUUUGGAGAACAAGUUGAGCAUAACUUGAAUUACAAGCAGCACCACUUCUGAAUGACUCACAAGCUGCAACUCUUCUGAUGACCACUUACACAAGCAAACUUAAGGUCUUUUUUAAGAUCAAGUAUAUACUGAUACGCAGUGACUUAACUACAAAGAUGGAAAUAAGGAAAUUGAAAAUUUUGUUGGAAAAUAUGAUGAGAAAUAGGAAAUAAGAGGCCAAAGACUACUCAGAAGCUUCACAUUAAAGUGUUAUGAAUACUUCAAGAAAAGGACAACAGGUAUUGGUCAUGGAUAAUAUCACAAAAAAUUAUGUUUUGAUCAAAAAUGACUUAUUACUAAUGUGGUAGUCAUCCCCAAACUUCUUUCUGUGUAGUCAAAUUGCUGACUUAUUAGAGCAAAGCAAGUUAAUACAUAAGUCAAAAAAUAAUAAAUGAAGAAAGAUAUGCAAUUUUGAAAAUUGUAUCCUCACUUUAUUUAAACAAGUUACUGAUGAUUAAAAAUGGGAUAUAGCUAGGAAGUAGGUCAUAGAUACAAACUACAAUAAUGUCAUACAGUACUUUAACAAAUGAAAAGCAAAUGCCAUAAUUAGGAGAUUUAAAGGGCCAAAAAGUGCCUUAGUCAACAAGGAGUUGAUUUAUUUGCCAUACAGAGAGAUUUGGUAGGCAAAGGAAAAACUAGCUUAGAAAGUAAUGAACUAAAAAAAAUCUUACAAGAGAAGUAUGGCAGAAGAUUAUCAGAAUUAUUUCUUGAUAAAAGAGAAAAACAGUGGAGAGAGAGUAAAACUAGUUCAAAGACAGGUUGGUGAAAAAUCCAAUUAGCAAGCAAAAUUAACCUGAGGAUAUUUACAGAUGAAAAUGUAAGGAGAGCAACAAUAAAAAUGGAAAAGGUCUGCAAAGCUUAUCAUAUCAAAACUUUGUUCAACAUCAAGGACAGUGAAGCCACCACCUUGGACUCUAUAUCUUGGGUAUGCUUAACCAAGGACAUAGAAAUGGACAAAGAUGAGGAAAGCAACUGUAUCAAAGUAUGCAUAUAAAGAAGAGAGGCAUGCUAGUGCUGACACAACUGUGAGGAUACUAAGGGAUUAAUUCAAAAGGUAUAUGAAGAAGUCGAAGAUACAAAAGGUGUGUGUGUGGGAAAUCUCAAAUGUGAUCAAUGUUGCAAAAAAGCAACCAAGACAUCAACUACUAUGAAUCUAUAUGGCUACCUUUCCGUCUUUCACACACAAGUGAGGAUAUAUUUGAUGGGAAACCAGCCAAGUUUCAUGAAGUAAAAUUGCGCAAUUAAUCACAUCUUUACCAGAUCACUACUAAAAAAAAUGCAAAAAAUACAGAAAUUCCAUUGUGAAAAAAGCAUUUGAAUCAAUAGAGCAAAAUGCCACCACUCUGUCUUCCUAUGAAGAAUGAGAUAACCUUAUUAGUGAUCCUCUAAUUAUCAACAUCAGAUGAGACACAGAACUGUCUUGAAGAGAGAGAAUCUUGGACAGACGCUGAAAUGAACAAGUUAGGCCCAGAAAUUACAGAGGAGUAAGAGAAUGGACUGGACUGCCUUUGGGAAACUGCAGACUUUCUUUAAUGACACCAAACUUCUCCCAGAAACAAAAGCCCGUUACUUUAAUUCUAACAUUAUACAACUGUUAUAUGGGUACAAAACAUAGAACAUAAUAGCAUCUGUAAAAUUUUUACAAGUAUUAGUUAGAGGUCAACAGAGAGCUAUGUGGUGGGUGUGAGGCAGGAUUCUGCACAUAAGUUAAGAACUUCAAAAAAGAACUGGAAUAAAGGAUAUAAUUGCGUGAUUGAAAAAGGAGAUAAGCUGGUCAGACAGAAUAAAGGAAAACCAAUGGACAAUUGGCCCAUUUCACUGGUAUCCUAGUAGUGUCAGGAGAAAGUGAGGAAGCUUCUUGCCCUACUGGGUCAAUCCUCUAUGACAAACUUUGUUGGAAGUAAAUGGAAAACUAAUAGGCAUGGAAGAAAAUUAUAAAUUACUUCCUUGGUGGGAUUCUUCAUAUUGAUGAGAUCACUCAUCAUUUGAGUAUACUUCAAGAGUAUCAAACAGGAACUGAAGUCAUGGGAAAGGGUAAAAACUACAUUAUAAUUAAAGGCAUAAAUAAAUAAGCAGUACCAAUUUUAGCAUGGAAUGGCAUAGAGGAAAAAAAGGCUUACAUGGCAAGACACUAAUUCUAGAAAAGAAGGAAAUUAACAGACUAAAAGAAAAUGCUGGGUAAGUUUGAUUCGAUAAACCUAUGGGGACUUCUGACAAUACAUUUUUUGGUUCAGGCUCCUAUGGGACUUAUUUUUUAAGAAAUCAUGUGAUUGGUCACAAAGAACUUAUAAAUAAAUGUGGACAGACAGAAAUCUUUAAAACAUUCUGUAAAGACCAUAACCCAAAACUCUAACAAAUGAAGAAAUCUGAACAAAAGAUGCAGCUCUAAAGACAGACUAAAAAAAUCUUUAAUAAAAAGUGAAUUAAAGACCAAAUAAUAGGAACAAUAAAAAAUAAAAGAUAAUAACAAGACCUAUCAAAUUUUAUGGGAUAUAACUAAAGCAAUCCUUAGCAGAAAAUUUAUACAACUGAAUGCACCUAUUACCAAGAAGGCAAAAAAGAAAUAAGGAAAAGAGAAAAUAAUAAAAACUCUAAAAAUUCA